GGCAUGGCGGGGACACUGUGAACGUCAGCCCAGAAGGUGAUCAGAGCCUGUUAAUUAAAAUGGAAAGAAGACAAAAGGGAAGGUAGACAUCAGGUUCUCCCUGGAGACUUUUCGUUUUCAUUUACGCUGCGGAAACUGACGUUUUUGCCUAACACCCCAUGUAAUGUAAACGUAUAGGCUUGAGUACGUGUCCGGCCGCAUGUGUAGUGAACCCUAAAGCUUUCCUAAUUGUAGUUAGCAUCGUCCCUAAGCGGAACGAUUUUCCGUGAACAUGAUUUGUACUUUUCUACGAGCCGUACAGUAUACGGAGAAGCUGCACAGGUCAUCGGCAAAGCGAUUGCUUUUGCCAUACAUUGUGCUUAACAAAGCGUGCUUGAAGACUGAGCCCAGUUUGAGAUGUGGGCUUCAAUAUCAAAAGAAAACGGUGCGACCUAGAUGUAUUCUUGGAGUCACCCAGAAAACCAUCUGGACGCAGGGACCGAGCCCCCGAAAAGCAAAGGAGGAUAGCAGCAAACAAGUGUCUGUGCACAGGAGUCAGAGAGGGGGAACCGCCGUCCCAACAUCACAAAAAGUGAAAGAAGCCGGAAGAGAUUUUACCUAUUUAAUAGUGGUGCUUUUUGGAAUCAGCAUUACAGGUUGCAAAAAACAGCAAGUAUAAGCCCUUGAAUAUUUUUUAAGCUGGAUUUUUUAUGUUGCCCUUGCUUCACUUCAUCUUUGUUUUCUGUGAUUUCAGGUGGCUUGUUUUACACGAUUUUCAAAGAACUUUUUUCUUCAUCCAGUCCUAGCAAGAUAUAUGGGAGAGCCUUAGAAAAAUGCAGAUCACAUCCUGAGGUGAUCGGUGUCUUUGGUGAGUCUGUU
rnacentral:sRNA from 1 species